UAAAACUCAUGUCUGCAUAGCACAUCAAGAGGUCCAGGCUCUGAAUAGCGAGACUGAAUGAUAUAAACCAACAUGAAGCUCUGUUCUCAUGAAAUUCCUGCAAACUAUGAAGCAUGCCUUCCUACUUUGGCUAUAUUAUAGGUUCAACAACAUAUGCUCAGGGCUGCUAGCCAGAAGCUACUCAGACAAGAAAAGCUCUUAUUUUGCUAACACUGAACUGUGGGACUCUUCGGUCAUCUUAUUCUUAAGCAUUUCUUAACGGGAAACCCUCAGGACUCCAUAACCUACACAGCUAUUCCACAAAAUGGUGGAAAAGCUUUUUCCAGGCAAACUUGGUCCCUGGAAAUUCUGUGGAGCUCUUAAGAAACACAUUAUUUUAGAACCUGAAGCCCGCUUAAAAAAACCCACAAAAUAAACUUUUGAAAGCUUUUUAACCCUAAUUCCUAUUUUAUAGCUCUUUAAAAGGCUUCCAAACAAAAGAAAAACAUCAAGUUUUACGUUACCUCAAUUUUUCUCCUUAUAAGGCUUAAACGACAUUGUAAGGAAAUAAUUACCCAGUCCAAGAAAAAGCAAAUUCUAAUAAAGACCUAUAUGUGAACCUUCAGCAUAAAGUACUACUUCUACCACACUUCCCAGUAACUAAUCUAGUUCCUCUGUCCAUGCUAGAUACAAAUUAAAUCCUGAUGUCCAAAGUCAAGACGUUUCAGGGCUUCAAUUGAUGUCUAGCCGAUUUU